CCACUGUCUAAAACACCGACUGUACUGCAGUGGAGAGCCCCCGAGUUGUCACUGAUAGUGAGUGUUCUUUCUCUAUCCCAAAGUAGUUUCCCUCAGAUUGGUGAGUCACCACCGUCCUCGUCGAACUUGCCACUGACGGCCAGAUCGCUCGUGGCUUCAACGAGGUUCCCUUCUCUCUCAAGUCUACAACAUAGAUCCCCUUCUGUGCCUCCAGCACGGGUCCAGUAUACAUACAUAGAGUGUACAUAGAGACCAUGCUCGGAUUCAACACGAGAACGCUGAGGGUCCGUCACACACUGUGGCACGCUCCAAAAUAGAACGACGACGGAGAUCCCCCUCGUAAUGACGAACGCACUCAUCGGGAGGCAGCCUUCAUCCUGCUGCGACUUGGGAGGACACCACAGCCUUCCUCAAGUCCAAUUUUCCAAGCCAUUCCGUCGUUAAACCGUCACGAGAACGAAACCCACGACCGGCAAGGUUCGAUUGGCGUUGAGCAUCCUUGCCAGCAUCAGAUCAAGCUCGCCAACCAUCAUUUGUCUGCUGUACAUAUGUGGGGAAUUUUUGGAGGGAAGAGGAGGUACACAUCGUGACGGGAGGGUGAGUGGUCCAUGUGAGUCAGACUUUCGUCGUUGCUGAACGGGUUCCACAUUCAACGAUCUUGAGCCAUCCAUUGAAGCCAACUUGAAGAGAGCGAGCUUGCGGCUUUGCCUGGUCGGUGGUGGAACUUCACGGCAGGCAUCCUCCAUCUUAACCGACCACCAUCCAUCCCCACCACCACCACCACCACCAGCAGCCACUGGACCUGUUUCUUCGCUUAUGGCUUUCUUCCUCUUGGACCCUUGGACGGGUUGUUCUGCAUCUGUUGAUUGUUCCAACCAGGUCGGUCGGACUCUGGUUCCACAUCAAGGCAACAACAACAGCAACAAGAACUAACAGGGAAACAAAUAACGGUUCGAGAUUGGAAAGCCAAGGAAGAUUCUCCAACACAUAAAACAGAAGAUCAGGCCAAAAGAAGACUUUAUGGCUUUGACGGAGACGAGAAAUGGUCCAAGUUUGCAUCUUCGACAGAUCGGAACUC